UUGCCGGGGUUUUCAUGAAAAGACAAUGACCUUUACAGAAAACAAUGACCUUUACAGAGAUCUCUAAACCUUGGCAACUCAGCAGCGAGCUCAGUUCUGAAAGCAUUCCUUUUGCCUUUCCCAACAGAGUUGAACAACUGGAAAGAAAGGAAGGAACUUAAAAAAAAAAAAUCACCGAAGUUUUUGGCAAACUUUAGGUGCUCUUUCCCCCACCCUGUAAUUAAGGCAUAAGUAAACAGUAAAAGAAUAUCAAAUUGCAGCUUGCUUCAGUAAUAGGUACCCAGGUGGAGCUGCUGCUUGUAUGGACCUGUGUCUUGAGACAGAAGGGCAGCCUCUCUGGGGAGGACUCCAAUGGGUCCCCAGAUCUGAUACAUCAAGAUUAAGACUUGAGGAUUCGGAGCUGAGUGAUAAGAAAGGAUUGUCUUCCCAUCUAUAAAGUGAAGAUUAUUAUUAUUAUUAUUAUCCACCCUCUGACGACACACUGUAUUGAAUAACGAUGAAAAAAUUGUUUAGCAAGAUAUACAUUAGUUUCUGAAGGAAGAAGACUUUCAAAUAUUCUCUAGCUACUACUUGAGUGGCCUAAAGGUAUUAGUUCACAUAAAUAUAUAUUUUUUAAUUCUGUUAGGGGGCUGGUUGCU
rnacentral:lncRNA from 1 species